ACGGUCCAGACUCCUACGGGAGGCAGCAGUGGGGAAUAUUGCACAAUGGGCGCAAGCCUGAUGCAGCCAUGCCGCGUGUAUGAAGAAGGCCUUCGGGUUGUAAAGUACUUUCAGCGAGGAGGAAGGCGUUAAGGUUAAUAACCUUGGCGAUUGACGUUACUCGCAGAAGAAGCACCGGCUAACUCCGUGCCAGCAGCCGCGGUAAUACGGAGGGUGCAAGCGUUAAUCGGAAUUACUGGGCGUAAAGCGCACGCA
rnacentral:rRNA from 1 species